UACGUAGGCAGCAAGCGUUGUUCGGAGUUACUGGGCGUAAAGGGUGUGUAGGCGGUCUUCUAAGUUUGGUGUGAAAUCUCCCGGCUCAACUGGGAGGGUGCGCCGAAAACUGGGAGGCUAGAGUACUGGAUGGGAGAGUGGAAUUCCUGGUGUAGCGGUGAAAUGCGUAGAUAUCAGGAGGAACACCGGUGGUGUAGACGGCUCUCUGGACAGUAACUGACGCUGAGGAGCGAAAGCGUGGGGAGCGAACAGG
rnacentral:rRNA from 1 species